AUGCCCUUCUCGUCUGAAGAGAUCCGCACGGCCAUAGCCAAUCUCCCCGCGGACCGCGCGCCGGGACCGGAUGGUUUCUGUGGCUCCUUCUACAAGGCUUCGGCUAGCACCAUCGUGCCCGAUCUCCUGCUGGCCUUUCAACAGCUGUUCCAGCGGAAUCGUUCGGGCCUGCACCUCCUCAACGUUGGGCAUAUUUUCUUGUUGCCCAAGCAUGAUGGCGCCAGCGCGAUGACGGAUUUCAGGCCCAUUUGCCUGCUGCACAGUGUGGGAAAGCUGUUCAUGAAGGUUUUGGCUAUGCGGCUGGCCAGAAAGCUAGAUGAGCUGAUCUCGCCCUCCCAAAGUGCCUUCCUCAAAGGGCGUUGCAUCCAAGAUAACUUUUUGUUCGUGCAAGGGCUGGCUAGACACUUCCACCGUGCUAAGAGAGCCGCGGUCCUGCUUAAGCUCGAUAUCACCAAGGCCUUUGACUCGGUGUCCUUGCCUUAUCUGCUAGAUAUGUUGCGCGCGAGGGGUUUUGGGCCGAGAUGGUGCGAUUGGAUAUCCAUGAUGCUGGCCUCUGCUUCAUCUAGGGUUAUGGUCAACGGUGUGGUGGGCGCCGCGUUCCGGCAUUUCCGACGCCUGCGGCAAGGGGACCCGCUCUCGCCGUUCCUCUUCAUCCUGGCCAUGGAACCCUUGCAGCGGCUUAUCGCCAUGGCCACAGAAUCUCGAGAGCUGUCCGCCUCAGAGGCCGGACUCCCGAGCUUCGAAUCUCUGUCUUUGCUGACGAUGUAG
rnacentral:rRNA from 1 species